GGAGAGAUGGCUGAGCGGUUGAAAGCGGCGGUCUUGAAAACCGUUAAGGGGGUAACCCCUUCUAGGGUUCGAAUCCCUAUCUCUCCGCCA
rnacentral:tRNA from 1 species